rnacentral:rRNA from 1 species
CGUGGAGUGAUUUGUCUGGUUUAUUCCGAUAACGAGCGAGACUCUAACCUACUAAAUAGUUGAUAUUUUUUAUAAGAGUAUACAACUUCUUAGAGGGAUUUGCGGUGUUUAGCCGAAAGAAAUUGAGCAAUAACAGGUCUGUGAUGCCCUUAGAUGUCCGGGGCUGCACGCGCGCUACACUGGCAGAAUCAGCGUGUUUUUCCAUUGCCGAAAGGUAUUGGUAAACCGUUGAAACUCCUUCGUGUCCGGGAUAGGGAAUUGAAAUUAUUUCCCUUAAACGAGGAACUCCUAGUAAGUGUGAGUCAUUAGCUCACGUUGAUUACGUCCCUGCCCUUUGUAC